CAGGGAAGGAACUCAAAUGGGUUUCUACUCUUGUCACUGUCUAUGAUGCUCUCAGGAUCGCAACUUGGCUGCUAAGGACCCUGCCAAGCCUUGUGUUCUAUAAAAGUUACACAUUUGAUUGAGCUUCAGGACUCCAAGCAGCCGGGACACCUACAGAAGGAGACUAGGACAUUUUUCCUACUGAAAACACAGAUUAGUUCUUUUGUCUGAGGAUCUCCACAGCCAUUCUUGUUAACAUCGGUGAGUUUUCACAUUUUCAUGUCAAGAUGGCCCUCAAGUACAUCACCCACUACUAAACGCUUUAGCCUCUUUUUAAAUCUACCAACAU